AUCGUUCAUCUCCCCCACCCGUUAACUCAACUGGCCGUUUGUCCAGUUAUUGGUUAACGUUCUGAGGAAGACGGAAGUAGGGACCCAUGCCCGAAGGAACGCGCC
rnacentral:ncRNA from 18 species